CGCGCCUGCCGGACAGAGUCCUGGCCCCAGUUUCAACUGAAUCCAGUUCCAAAAGUUCCUUGGUUAGCAUUUCUUCCAGAAGCCAAAAACAGCUCACCUGUGAAGCAGGAUAUCCUGGAACCUGCCCCCUAAGAGGGGGUGCUUCAGUCUGACAGUCCUGUUGGGGAUAUAUCCAACGAGAGACUGGAGUUGGGCUGUCACCAGGUGAACGGUUUGCAAAUUUCCGUAAUUCCUGGAAUUACUUCCUGGUUUUGAGAUGUCUUCAUGAGUUCAUAGCUUCUUUUCCCAAAUAACCACCAUGUCAACGGAUCACAAAAUAGCAACAUGCAUGUUUACAAAAGAACAUGGAGUCAGAAGGUUAUGUAUCAGCCUUGCAGUUGCUAAAGAGGUUUGCUAAGGAUAAGCUUAUGAUCCUAUUUCAAAAAUGCCUCAAAGCUUUUAAGUCUUCAUCUGUAAAGUAGCCGUGUGAAAAUUGCCAAGGCCAAGAUGGAGUCACUUACGACAGACUCAGGGCAAGGCAGAAUCAGAGGUCACGAAGGAGGGGUCUCCUGUGCACAUGAUUGAGAUAAGUGCUAUCACAAGGACUUUCUAAAACCCACGUGAAAUCCCUGUAUGCUGUGUUCAUCUUGCUUGUCUUACACAUACGUGUGUAAGAGGAUUUAUCACAAAAAAUUCCUCAAGACUGAAGCAUUUCAGAUAAGGCACCCUCAUAAGAACAUUUGCUUAGCAACAGCUGUUUCCACCAAUGAGUUAACAUCAGUUCCUACAACAGGCCCCUGUGAUCAAUGUUUGUUUCAAAACAGCUUACGUGGACUUCUCCUUUUUCCCCUGAAAAGUUUCCCCUUCCCACAUAGUCUCUGGAUGCACCUAUGACUCAUCAUAACAUGCUCAUCCUGGAUUAUAAUCCCGUUUACUCCCAAACAAAUUCCUUUCUUUGGAGAGCCCCUCCCUUGUUAUUUUAGGUUUACACUUGGAGCACAGCAAAGAAAAUAGAGGAGUUCCUUGCCCCAUUUCAGAGCCUCGAUACAGAGAAAGAAAAUGCUUCUGGGGCUUCAGAAGACAGAUUUCUAUCGCCUCCAGAAGUCCGUGAUGGAAAUACUGGAGUUCAGAGCAAAUAAGAAACAACUCAACUGAGUUUGAAGAAUUCAGAGAAAACCUCAUGAACUUCAUCAACAGUCUAGUGAGACAACAUCCUCUGCCUCCAGAGAUGCAGCCUCUGAGAUCGUGAACGUUAGUGCUGCUCACACCCUACUCCACAAAUUGCCCUCCACAUGCCUCAAAGCUUUAUUUCCAAUAUUGCCCAGAUACAUGCACAGCACAUCAACUGCACCUGGAGCACAGCAAGCUAAACAACUGUGUAGAUUGGACAGAUGCCUUAGCAAUACCAACAGCUUCUUUUAAAAAAAUGGAUGUAAAUUCCACACUCUCAGAAAAAAAUGCAACAAAUUAUAGAUCUUGGUUUAGUAAAGCUGUUUCUGAACUAGAAUUUUUAAGAUUUAUAAAAUCUACCUAACAGAAUGAUCACGUGCCAAGGCUAACACAAGCAUGCAGCUAGAAGGCAAAACA